rnacentral:misc_RNA from 1 species
GAUGAAGAACGCAGCGAAAUGCGAUAAGUAAUGUGAAUUGCAGAAUUCAGUGAAUCAUCGAAUCUUUGAACGCACAUUGCGCUCCCUGGUAUUCCGGGGAGCAUGCCUGUUCGAGCGUCAUUACAACCCUCAAGCUCUGCUUGGUGUUGGGCCCCGCCGCCCCGGCGGGCCCUAAAGUCAGUGGCGGUGCCGUCCGGCUCCGAGCGUAGUACAUCUCUCGCUCCAGUGCCCGGUGGUAGCCUGCCAGAACCCCAACUCUCGUGGUUGACCUCGGAUCAGGUAGGGAUACCCGCUGAACUUAAGCAUAUCAAUAAGCGGAGGA